AACGCGAAGAACCUUACCAACCCUUGACAUCCUCGGACCGCCAGAGAGAUCUGGUUUUCACUUCGGUGACCGAGUGACAGGUGCUGCAUGGCUGUCGUCAGCUCGUGUCGUGAGAUGUUCGGUUAAGUCCGGCAACGAGCGCAACCCACAUCCUUAGUUGCCAGCAGUUCGGCUGGGCACUCUAGGGAAACUGCCCGUGAUAAGCGGGAGGAAGGUGUGGAUGACGUCAAGUCCUCAUGGCCCUUACGGGUUGGGCUACACACGUGCUACAAUGGCAUCAACAAUGGGUUAAUCCCCAAAAGAUGUCUCAGUUCGGAUUGGGGUCUGCAACUCGACCCCAUGAAGUCGGAAUCGCUAGUAAUCGCGUAACAGCAUGACGCGGUGAAUACGUUCCCGGGUCUUGUACACACCG
rnacentral:rRNA from 1 species